GCUAGAGUUUGAUAGAGGAAAGCAGAAUUUCUAGUGUAGAGGUGAAAUUCGUAGAUAUUAGAAAGAAUACCAAUUGCGAAGGCAGCUUUCUGGAUCAUUACUGACACUGAGGAACGAAAGCAUGGGUAGCGAAGAGGAUUAGAUACCCUCGUAGUCCAUGCCGUAAACGAUGUGUGUUAGACGUUGGAAAUUUAUUUUCAGUGUCGCAGCGAAAGCAAUAAACACACCGCCUGGGGAGUACGACCGCAAGGUUAAAACUCAAAUGAAUUGACGGGGACCCGCACAAGUAGUGGAGCAUGUGGUUUAAUUCGAAGAUACGCGCAGAACCUUACCAACACUUGACAUGUUCGUCGCGACUUUGAGAGAUUAAAGUUUUCGGUUCGGCCGGACGAAACACAGGUGCUGCAUGGCUGUCGUCAGCUCGUGUCGUGAGAUGUUGGGUUAAGUCCCGCAACGAGCGCAACCCUCACUUUUAGUUGCCAUCAUUUAGUUGGGCACUCUGAAGGAACUGCCAGUGAUAAGCUGGAGGAAGGUGGGGAUGACGUCAAGUCCUCAUGGCCCUUACGUGUUGGGCUACACACGUGCUACAAUGGUAUUUACAACAGGAAGCAAGACGGCGACGUUAAGCAAAUCCUCAAAAAAUACCUCAGUUCGGAUUGCACUCUGCAACUCGAGUGCAUGAAGCUGGAAUUACUAGUAAUCGUGGAUCAGCGUGCCACGGUGAAUGCGUUCCCGGGUCUUGUACACACCGCCCGUCACACCAUGGGAGUUGGUUCUACCUUAAGGCAAGGUUUAAUACCCUUGACCACGGUAUAGUCAGCGACUGGGGUGAAGUCGUAACAAGGUAAC
rnacentral:rRNA from 1 species